GUGGUUUGCGCAACCGCAUGAUCACCUCACAUGUUAGGAAGAUAAAUUAAAAUCAAUUCAAGCUGCCUGCAAAAUAUUUUUUUCAAAUAAAAAAGAAAAGGUACCGAAAGGGCGUUAGAGAAAUCUAGCGUAAUCAAGUCCCCGAACUCAUUUAAUCUCUGGUUCGUAGGAGUGAAGUAAUUCUCCCAUUACUUUACUUGGGUUUCUAAUCGA
rnacentral:lncRNA from 1 species